GAGAGAGAAGAGAGAGAGAGAGAGAAGAGAGAGAGAGAGAGGAAGGAGACGAGAGAGAGAGAGAGGAGGAAGAAGACAAAGAAAGAGGAGGAGAGGCGAGAGAAAUAUACAUGGAAGGCAGACAAGGAAGUGAAGGAAAGGAACACGUAAAAAGAGAGAGAGAGAUAGAUAGAAGAAAGACAGGGAAAAAGAGCAUAAAAAGAAAGUAAAAAGAAAGAAAGAAAGGGACUAACAACAGUGGAUGACGGUCGGAUCAGCCAACAUUAAUAACAGAUAGUAAGUACGAAUGAUCCUCCCCCCCCCGAGAUAAUGCAAUAAAGUGUCGUCUUGGGUAGAAUUCCGAGAGAAAAGGGUUAUUUUCUGGGAUAAUCAAGGGGACGUCUGAAGGUGUGGCAAUAUCUAAAGGAGUGACUUUUAUUGAAAAAAAAAAAAAAAAAAAAUGGAGAGAGGGGUUUCCCCAUUUUUUUAUUUUGAUAUUUGGGGUAUUAAAUAGAAGAAACAGAAGAAGAGGAAGAAGAAGAAGAAGAAGAAGAGGAAGAAGGAGAAGAAGAGGAAAAAGAAGAAGAAGAAAAGGGUAGUAUAAUGAUAGUUGAAAGGAAUGAUGAUGAAUGGCAGUUUUAAUUUCUAUAAGAGAUAUUAAUAUGGGAUAUUAUGUUCUGGAAUUUGUCUGGAAUGUAUGGUUGGGGUAAUUAUAAUAUAGAAAACAUAGACAUGAACUGAAAAUAUGUGACAUUUUUAUCUUCUAUAUAACUGGUAUAAAAUGUUCAGUAAUAAUAAAAAUAACGAAGAAAUUGUUUAGCGUGGGGAAUGAAAAACAAUGAUUGAAAUCUGUAUCAGUAUCAUUACAAGUAAAAAAAAAAAGAGAGAGAGAGAGAGAGAGAGAGAGAGAGAGAGAGAGAGAGAGAGAGAGAGAGAGAGAGAGAGAGAGAGAGAGAGAGAGAGAGAGAGAGAGAACAUUAAAAAGGGCAACGUACAAAAAAAAAAAUAAAAAAAAAAAAUAAAUAAAAAGCUUAAAAAACAAGAAAAUAUGGAAUUAGUCUUGGACAGAUAUAAUUAUGGUAGAAUGAUAAAAAAAAAAAGAAAAAAGAAAAAAGAAAAACGGAAUGGAUGCAUGUAGAUUAAGCCAUUAGGGAAACUUUGUGAGAAUGAUAGGGAUAAUUUUUUCUAAUUACUUAAUUUUCGUUUUCUAUGCCAUUAGUAUUAUUAUUACUAUUGCUAUUGCUAUUACUAUACUAUUACUAUGGCUACUACGAUUAUCAUUAUCAUUAUUAUUAUCAUCAUCCUGUUAUUAUUUUCAAUACGACCAUCAUUUCCAUCAUCAUUGCUAUUAUUAUCGCUAUUAUCAUUGUUACUAUAAUUAUUGAAAAAAUGGUUGAUAAAAAUUAUAGUAGUAUAAAAGGUUUCGAUAAUGAAAAUGGUAAUAUUGCGAUGUGUUUCGUUGAUAAAGAUGGUACUACUAUGAAAGGUUUUGGUAAUAGAAACGGCACUAUUAGGUAAUGGUAAUAUGAAGGGUUUCGUUGAUAAAAUGGUAGUAUUACGAAGGGUCUUACUAACAUAAUUAAAUAUUACGGGAGGUUUGGUUUGUGUAAAUGGUAACAGUAUGAAAGGUUUCGAUAACGGAAAUGGUAACAGUACGAAAGGUUUCAAUAACGGAAUGGUAACAGUAUGAAAGGUUUCAAUAACGGAAUUGGUAACAGUAUGAAAGGUUUCUCGAUAACGGGAAUAGUUACAGUAUGAAAGGUUCAUUAAUAAUAUUACGAAAGGUCUCGGUAACAAAACCCAUUGCUAUUAUGAAAGGUUUGGUUCAUAGAAAUGGUAGAUGAAUUGUAUCGUGAUAAUCAUGGUGACAUCAUGAAAGCUUUCUUUAAUAACAAGGGUAACAAUAUGAAAGAUGAUUAAUUUUAAUAAUAGAUAUGGUAGGAUUGUGAAUGGUUUCACUAAUGAAAAUGGUAUGGAAGAUUUUACUAGUAUGAAAGGUUUAUAUUUAGGUUUCCGAAGAAAUAAUCAGAUAACGAAAAUGGUAGUAUUAUGAAUGGAUUGGGUGAUGAAAAUAUAUUACAAGUUUCUUUUCUAAAAUUGGUAGGAUUUAGAAGAAAAUUACUGACAAAAUUCAUACUAUUAUUGAAGGUUUUGCUGACCAGAAUGAUUACAUUGUGAAAGUUUUAUUUAUUUAUUUAUAUAUAUAUAUUUUUUAUGAAAGGUUUCAAUGAUAAAGGUAAUAUUAUGAUUAAAAAAUGGUUGCAUUAAGAUUUUUUCUGAUAAAAAGGGUAAAUUAUUGAAAGGUUUGAUAAAAAUUAUAGCAUGAAAUGUAUCUUAAUAUACAUGGUAAUGUGUAUGAUCUUUGAUGAUAAAAAAGAAAUAUGAUUUUCCUACAAAAAAGUAUAAAAGGGUUAAUUGAUGAGGAUGCCAGUACAAUAUAAGGUUUGACUGAUAAAAUGGUAACAGUAUGAAAGAUCUCGAUAAAAAGUGGUAGUAUUAUGUAAUAUUUACUUCAUGAAAGAGGUAAUAUAACAGAUUUCAUUAAUAGAAAUGGUUAAUACAUGGUAAUAUCAUGCAGGGUUUCCACUACAAAGAAAGGGUGAUGAAAACAGUAGAUCCAAAUGUUUCGUUGUUAAGAUAUGGGAGUAUCAUGAAAGUUUUUGAUGAUAAAAUUUAUAGUAUCAUGAAAGGUUUUGUUUACAAAGAUUGUAGCGUUAUGAAAAGUUUAGUUCAUAGAAAUUGCGGUAUGGAAGGUUUUAUGAUAAACAAAGUAGUAUUAUAAAAAUUUCCCUAAUAAUAAGGGUAACACAUUGAAGGGUCUCGUUGACACAGAGGUACCUUCAAAAUAAGUUGAUAAAAUAAUGUGAAUGAUUUCUUUGAUAAAAACGAUAUCACUAGGAAAGGUUUCAUUGAUGAAAAUGGUAAUAUUAAGUUGGUCGAUACAAGAGACGGCAUGAAAUUUGUUCGUGUGAAUAUUAGUAAUUUUGAAAGAGUUAAGUGAUGAAAAUGGUAUAAAGAAAUAUAACAUUAUGAAAAGUGUAAAUAAGAUAAGCAAAAUAAUAUUAUUAAAGAUCUGGUUGCUGGAAAAGAUAGCAUGAAAGGUUUGGUUUAACGUAACUGGCAGCAUUACGAAAGGUAGUAAAUAUGGUGACAUGAAAGGUUUCGUUUAUAAAAUAGUAUCUUAAGAUCUAUUUGGUAACGGAAAGGGUAAUGCUAUGAAAGGUUUGGUUGCUAAAAAGGGUAUUAUGAAGGGUUUUGGUGAUGAAAAGGGUAACUUUUUGAAAGGUUUCAUCGAUAAAAAUGUAUCGUGAAAAAGUUUUGCUGAUAAAAUAGUAUACUUCUAUAAAUGGUUUCGUUGACAAAUAUUAUGGUAAAAAAAAAAAAAAAAAAAUAUAUAUAUAUAUAGGUUGAUAAAAAUGAUAGUAUUACGUAAGAUCGGUAAACAAAAACCAUUGGUUUAUGAAAGGUUUGGGUAAUUAGAAAUGGUAGCAUGAAAAUUUUCUUGAUAAUCAUGGUAACAUCAUGAAAGCUUUCCAUAAUAAAAAGGGGUAACAAUAUGAAAGAUUAUUAAUCUAAUAAUAGAUAUGGAAGAAUUAUGAAUGGUUUCACGAAUGAAAACAAUUUUGAUGAUAAAAAUGCGAGCAUGAAAAGUUUGAUUUAUAUUGCGGUAUCUGAAGAAAUAAUUAGUUAACGCAAAUAGUAGUAUUAUCUAAGGUUUAGUUGAUAAAAAUAUAUUACAUAUUUUAAAACUGGUAGUAUUUUGAAGAAAAUCAUCGACAAAAUUCAUACCAUUAUGAAAGGUUUUGCUGACUAAAAUGGUUGCAUUAUGAAACUUUUUAAAUGAAAAGUUUCGAUGAUGAGGUGGAAAUAUUAUGAUAUUUGUUGAUAAAAUGGUUGCAUUAAGAUUUUUUUUUUCUGAAAAGGUUUAGGUGAUAAAAAUUAUAGCAUGAAAGGUAUCAAUAAAUAUGGUAAUGAGGAAAGAUCAUUUAUAUUAUGAUCUUCCUACAAAUAAGUAUGAACAAUUUAAUUGAUAAUUAUGCCCGUAUUAUGCAAGAUUUGACUGAUGAGAAUGGGAACAGCAUGAAAGGAUUCGUAAUAAAAGAGGUAGUAUUAUGCGAUAUGAAAAAGGUGGUUCAUAGAAACUGCAUCAUGAAAGGUUUCGUAAUAAACUUUGAAGCAUUAUGAAAGGUUUCCCUUAAUAAUAAGGGUAACACAUUGACAGGUCUCGAUUAUAGAGUUAGAAUUUAAAAAAGGUGAUGAUAAAAUGGUAAAGAUUUCUUUAGUAUGAACGGGUAUCAUUAUGAAAAUGUUAAGUAAGGUAAAGUCAAUACAAGAGACAGCAUGGAAGUUUUCGUUCAUAUGAAUUAUUAGUAUUUAGAAAGGGGCCGGUGAGGAAAAUGGUAUGAAAGGUUUAUAAAAAAAUUAUAAAUGAAAUAAUCAAAAGAUAAUCAUUAAAGGUUUGGUUGCUGAAAGAAUAGCAUGAAAGGUUUGGUUAAUAUAAUGGUUUUGAUGGUAAACAUGGUGGCAUGAAAGGUAUCGUAAGGUACAUUUGGUAACGAAAAUGGUAAUGUUAUGAAAGGUUUGGUUGCUAAAAAAGGUAUUAUGAAGGUUUUUAAUGAUAAAAAUGGUACUUUUAUGAAAGGUUUCGUUGAUGAAAAAGAGUGUAUUCUGAAAAGUUUUGCUGAUUCAUAGUUUCGUUGAGAAAUAUUAUUAACUUUCGUUAAAAAAAAAAAAAGCAAAACCCAUUCCACCAUGAAAGAUUUGGUUCAUAGAAAUGGUAGCAUGAAAGGUUUCUUGAUAAUUAUGGUAAUGUUAUGAAAGUUUUCCUUAAUAAAAAGGGUAACAUCAUGAAAGAUCUUGAUGAUACUGGUGGUUACUUUAAUAAUUGCUAUGGUAGAAGUAUGAAUGGUCUUGCUAUUGAAAAUAGUAUGAAAGAUUUUAAUAAAAUGCUAGUAAGUUUCGUUUAUAAGGUAUUACAAAUUAAUUUAAUAACGUAGUAUUAUGACAGCUUUGGUUGAUAAAAAUGGUAAGAAAAGUCUGGCAUGGCAAGUUUGCAUGAUAAAAAAUAGUAGUAUAAUGAAAGGUUUCCUUUAAAAAAUACUGAGAAAGAUCGAUGCAAAUGGUAGUAUGAAAAGUUUCAUUAACGGUAAGGUAAAGAAAGGUUUCUUUAAUGAAAAAGUUAGUGUUAUUUAAGAUUUUAGUGAUAAAAUCUGUUCCAUUAUAAUAGUUUUCGUAAGAAUGAUAAAAAUAGCAGUUUUAUGAAAGGUUUGCAUAAUGAAAGGUUUUGAUGAUAGAAAGGGUAGCACAAUGGAGGGUUAAGCUGACAAAAAUAAUAACAAGGAAGCCUUCUUAAUAAUCAUGGUAAUAUUAAGAAUGUUCUUCGAUGGUGAAAAUUAAACUAUUAUGAGGUUUUAUAUAAAAAAAAAUAUUUUGAUAAAAUAAAAAGUAUUGGUAUGUUUAAUUGGUAAUAUUAUGGAAGCAUUCGAUAAUGAAAACAGUAUUACGCAAAAUUUGGUUGACGAAAGUCUUUUGCUGAUAAAAAUGAUAGCGUUAUGAAAGGUUUAAGUAACAAAAAUAAUAUUACGAGCAAGAAGGUUGAUCACAAUGGGUAUGAGGUUUGAUUAAUAAAAAUGGUAAUAUUAUGAAAAGUUUCGCUGACAAAAUAAAAGUAGAAUGAAAGUUUUCAAUGAUGCAAUUCGUAGUAGUAUGAAAGUUUUCAUUAAGAGAGGUGGCAAUAUAAUGAAAGGUUUGGUUGAUUAAAAAGGUAAUAUUAUGUAAGGUUUGGUAGAUGUAAACCAUUAUGAAAGGCUUUGAUAAAAAAUAGUAGCGUGAAUGGUUUUGGUUUCUAAAGAUGAUAACAUUACGAAAGGUCUUAAUAAUAAUAAUAAUAAUAAUAAUAAUAAUAAUAAUAAUAAUAAUAAUAAUAAUAAUAAUAAUAAUAAUAAUAAUAAUAAUAAAAUGAUAGAAUUGUGCGAUGUUUGGUUGAUGAAAGUGGUAGCUUUAGGACAGUGAUAGUGCUAUGAAAGGUGUGGCUGAUAAAAUACGGUAGUAUUAUGAAUAUAUUAUUCAAUAACAUUUAGUAUUAAAAAGGCUGACCAAAAUGGUAGCACAAGUUUCGUUGAUAGAUGAUUUUGCUGAAAAGAUUCGUAUUUUUAUGCUUGAAUUGUUGCAACAUCAAAGGUUUCAUUGCGAAAAAUGAUCACAUCAUUAAAAGUUUUGUUAAUAAAAACGGUAGUAUUAUGAAAGGGUUGGUUUCCAAAUGAGAUAGAAUGAGUUUUCGUUGAUAUAAUUGUUACUAUUAAGAAAGCUUUCGCUGAUGAAAGUAGUAUGAAAGGUUUCGAUAAUAAGAAUAGUAGUAUGAAAGAUUUAGGUUAUUAUAAGGUAUCUUAAGAGGUAAUUUGAAACAAAUAACGGUAGUAUUAUGAUAACUUUGGCUGAUGAAAAUGGUAGCAUGGAAGGUUCUAUUGAUGAAAGUGUGUAGAAAGACUUUACUUGAUAAAAAAUGGCAGCAUGAAAGAUUUGGAUGAUGAGAUAUGGUAUUAUUACACAAGUUUCUACAAAAGGAAUGGUAGCAAUAAGGUUUAUUCAUGAAAAUGAUAAAAGGGUUUCCUUUAUAUAAAUGGUAUUAUUAUGAAAGGUUUUGAUGAUAAAAGAUUUGGUUGAUAAAUAUGGUUUUCUGAAAGGUUUCGAUGAUGAAGGUAAUAUUUAAAAGGUUUGGUUGAUGAAAGCAGUAGCAUGAAAAAAAAUAUAUGAGAUUUUUUUUUCUGAAAAAAGUAUGGAAGGUUUGCUUGAUAAAAAUGGUAGCAUUAUAAAAGGUUUCAAUAAAAAAAAAGAAAGAAAAGAAAAAAAGAAUCACGAAGAGAGGUUCGUGAAACUGGUAAUAAAAAAAGAAAAGAAAAGAGAAAAAGAAGAAGAGGGUUUCACUGACAAAAUUCGCAGUAAUAAGAAAGGUAUCGAAGUAUUAUGAAAGGCUUGAUUGGUGAAAAUGUAGCAUUACGAAAGGUUUCUUUGAAAAAAGGUAGUAUUGUUUUGUUGAUAAAAAUGUAGCAUUAUGAAGGUCUUGGUUGAUAAAAAUGGUUGCAUUGUAAGAAGGUUUUGAUAAGAUCGCGAGAAUUAAGGUGAUACAAAUGCAGCACGGCAGGUUUGGUUGAUAUAAAUGGUUGCAUGAUUUCUCGAUAAACAUGGUAAUAUUAUGAAAGAAAGGUUUGUUUGCUAGAUUAGUAAUUUUAAGAAAGGUUUCGAUGAAAGAAAUUACAUCAUCAUAAAAAAGUUUUGUUAAUAAGAAUAGUAUGAAAGGUUUGGCUGAAAAAAAGGGUGCAUUGAGAAAUCUUUGAAUAAAUGAAAGUAGUAGUAUAAAGUUUUCGGUAAUAAAAAUGGUUGUAUUAUGAAAAUUUUUGUUGAUAAGCAUGGUAGCAUGAAAGGUUUCGUUAAUAAAUGUGGUAGCAUGAUCUAUUGUUGAUAAGAGAUGGUAGUUUUUAUUAAAGGUCUGGUUUAUAACAAUGGUAGCAUUAUGCAAGGUUUCAUAACAUAAAUGAUAAUUUUGUAAAAGUAAUGGUUAACAGAAAUGGUAGCAGGGAUGAUUUCAUUGAUAUAAAACAUAGUAUUAAGAGAACUUUAGCUAAAAGAAAAGAAAAGAAAACAGCUUUAUAAAAGUCUGCUAUAAUAAUAAUAUGAAAAGUUAGGUUGAUAAAUUCGGUAGCAUGAAAGGUGUUAGGACUGGUAUAAAAGGUUUGGUUAAUGAAGAUGAUAGUAUUAAGUUUUGAUAACAGAUAGUAUUAUGUUUGGUGUUAAAAGUGGUAGCAUAAAAUUUUCGAUAAUAGCAAUAUCUUUAAUGAAAAUCGUAAUAUCAUUAAAGCCUUCUAUGUCAAGAAGGUUAGUUAUUAAAGAGUUUGAUAAGAAUGGUAGCAUGAGGUGUCCGUGAUUAAAAUGUUAACAUUAUGUAAGGUUUCGUUACUGAUAAUGGUAGUAUUAUGAAAGGUUUUAGUGAUAAAAAUGGCAGCAAUAUGGGAGGUUUUGGUGAUGAAAAUGGUAGCUUUAAGAAAAGUUGCAAGAAUGAAAAUGGUGUAAUUGUGAAAGGAGUGGUUGAUUGGUUAAAGAAAAUAAUAGCAUUUUGAAAGUUUUCAACAGUGAAAAUUAUUAUGUGUUUAUAUAUAAAAAAUAAAAACGAUAGAAAGUUUUCGGUGAUGAAGAUAGUAGCAUUAAUAUAAUAAAAAUGGUAGUAAUAUGAAAGUUUUAGUUGACAAUGGUAGCAUUAUGAGAGGUUUGGUCGAUAAAGAUGGCACUAUUAUGAAAACAUUGGUUGAUAAAAAUGGCAACAUUAUCAAAGGUUUUGGUAAUGAAAUUGAAAGUUUUAUGAGAAUUUUCGUUAAAAAAAUGGCAGCGUUAUGAAGUGUGUCGAUAAAAAUAAUGCUGAAUUUAUGAAGUAUUUGCGUGAUAAAAUUAUAUGAUUAUAAAAUUCUUGGAUAAUAAAAUGAUGAAUGAAGCGAAACAAGUUUCACGUAAUAUUACUUAUGUGAAAGAAUGUGAUUCUAAAAACCAUUAAGGUAAGUAAGUAUUUAGUCUCAUGUAGUAUUAUUACAAUGAAAUGAAUUUAUCCCAUGCUGAGUAUUAUUAAGGCAAGGAAUUAAGUUUUUAUCAUGCUGAGUAUUAUUAAGGCAAGGGAUUGAGUUAUUAUCAUGCUGAGUAUUAUUAAGGCGAGGGAUUGGGUUUUUAUCAUGCUGAGUAUUAUUAAGGCAAGGGAUUGAGUUAUUAUCAUGCUGAGUAUUAUUAAGGCAAGGUAAUGAGUUUAAAUAAGUAUCAUGACGGUAAAAUGAUUAGUUAGCCCCAGGUUGUGUAUCACUGAGGAAAAGAAAGAUCCCGGGGGUAUGUAUUAUCAAGGUAAAUAAUGAGAUAAUCCACUGGGUUUGAGUAUUGCGAAGGUAAAAUUAAGUAUUUUCCCGGGACUGUGUUUGGUAGCGGUGGAAUUGGCUAAAAAAAAAAAAAAAAAAAAAAAAAAAAAAAAAAAAAAAAAAAAA